CCAGCAGCCGCGGUAAUUCCAGCUCCAAUAGCGUAUAUUUAAGUUGCUUCAGUUAAAAAGCUCGUAGUUGGAUUUCGUGUGGGCCCUGCCGGUCCGCCGUUUCGGUGUGCACUUGCAUGUCCCACCUUGUUGCCUGGGACGUGUUCCUGGGCUUCACUGUCCGGGACACGGAGUCGGCGAGGUUACUUUGAGUAAAUUAGAGUGUUCAAAGCAGGCCUACGCUCUGAAUACAUUAGCAUGGAAUAACACGAUAGGACUCUGGCCUAUCUUGUUGGUCUGUAGGACCGGAGUAAUGAUUAAGAGGGACAGUCGGGGGCAUUCGUAUUUCAUUGUCAGAGGUGAAAUUCUUGGAUUUAUGAAAGACGAACUACUGCGAAAGCAUUUGCCAAGGAUGUUUUCA
rnacentral:rRNA from 1 species